rnacentral:misc_RNA from 1 species
CAGCAAAUUUGCUGGAAUAACAUGCAAAAUCCUGCAGAAAACCGAUUAGCAGACUUUAUGCUAUCGCCAAGUCACAUAAACAAUGCAUAUGUCAAUUCUGUUGAUCAAGAACGACAAAAUUCAGGUGGAUGGAGUUUGGGUGAACCCAGUUCAAGUGGUGCACAAAACGAUGCAAGUUGUGAAGACCAGAAAUCAGAACAUGGAUGGUCAUCUUCGGGAAGUACUCGUGCUGGAGCUGGUCGAAGGUUAGAAGAAAGGCGAUAUGAACCAGGCAGUAUUCUAUCGCUGGACAGUGUUAAUGUGAACCCUCAAUUUGGGCAGAGUUCCAAUUCCGAUGCAAUUCCUCAGAAUCUCAGUCUGAAUGCAAGUUUUGUGGGUCAAGGCAGUGAUAAUGGACAAGUCAUGGAAAGCUCUAACAUGUACAAGUCUGGCAGAGAUGAAAAUCAGCGGAUUCCUCCUGCUAGUCAUUCUGAUGCAUUCCUG